GGGCGGAACUGUGGGAGGCAGUGGAGUCGGCUGCCGCCGGGCUCCUGACCACAAGGGGGCGCAUCUCCUCCACUGUCUCCCGCAGCCUGAGAACUGCGCUGCUAUUGUGGACGGAGGAGCAGUCACUGACACGGAAGCUGCCUCCUGUAGGGAGAGAUGGCACUGGCUGCAGCUAGGGGGAGCUCCAGAGCACAGCUCCUCUUCUAGCCAGCCGAGGGAAGCUCUCUGCUCCGUCAGCCUGAUGAUGAAAGCCAAAGACAGAUGAAUCCCACCCUGCCCGUUUUUGUGCGCCCUACCAACCCGCCGUUUUCUGCCUGCCGUACCCCGCCACGCCGCCAGACCCAGCCGUGCGCCGCCGGACCCGACUUUGAUACAGAUGACUCUCCAGUGGACGCGUUCACAGCACUGAGUGACUGAUCCCCAACUCCGCCGUAUUGCACAGAGAAAGACGGGCACGCAUCCAACCUGACAGUGAAGGUCUUAGCCAGUAAAGGAUUCUCCUCUGGCUAUGGCUGCCACAGCAGUUCUUCAGCCUUUCCUCAGACCAACUAUCACUCACCAAUUGCCGCUCACCAACUGCCUCUCCUCUUCUAUCACCUGUCUCCAGCAUCCCAGCUGACCUAUCACAGAACCCUCUCUGCUUGUGCAUGCGCAGAAAAGCACAAUAAUGUGCGGCAGCCAUAAUACCUCAAAUAAUGGGGGUAUUACAUCAGAGCAACAAGCUUUAAAGCAGAAGAAGCUGACAACUGAGGGGAUUGUGGAUCCUCACUUUGGGGGUUGGCCAAAAGAGCUAGUGGUGGCACGGCCGACACCGCGGAGAUGUGCCGUUGGGGUGGUGAUGCUGGUGCUGGAGCUGGAGCCUCAAGACGGCGUCUCUUGGGUGGCCUCGUUGCCACAGUAACCGAGCCCUGUGAUGGGCGCCUUAGUGUAGGUGGAUUUGCCGAAGAAGAACCUAUGUGAUAAGAUAAUCAUUAACAUUUUGUGUUUCUAUGUGUUUGCAGAAUAUGUAUUUACAGUUAAAUCUUACCGGCAUUGCCACCAUCUGCAUCUCUUGGCAGUGUUGGCUGUGGCCUGGCUGUGCUGCUUCUCUGGCGUACUGUAGAAAUAUGAAGAAUGUCCUUAUGAACAUACUAUUUUGGUGAUAUGCUUAUGCAAAUUCCUUAUUGUGAUGUAAAUGUAUGUGGUAACUGAUGAGAAUUAAACUAAACGAUGCUUAUGCUUUUCUGCCUGA